AGCAUUUUACUUCCGCUCGGUCUAUGAGGACUGAUGAAAUGUAGGAAAUCUGUUUCUGGCAGGGAGAAAAAAUCGUUUUCCCAAACAGCACUAAAAGGAGCCAUCAGAGAAGUAUGAAGAGGGGUAGUGUGGCUGUAGCUGCUGCCGCUGCCGCCAGGCUGGUGGGGUGCGGGGAGCGGCUGCUGCAGGACCUGUGCCUGGAGGGGGCCAGCCCCGAGAAGCUGCAGGAGCCCAGCCUGGAGCCCAAGCGCCUCUGAGAGCCGCCACCAGCCCAGCUCGGGACGCCGGGGUGAGCACGACUGGCUGGCCCAGUUCUGCGCCAACGCUGCCGCAGCGUGCGCGCUCUGCAGCCGGGGCUCACGGGAGCCCCUGCCUGUCUGCUGCACCCGGGGCGGCGGGGGAGGGGAGAGGUCAUUAAAAAAUAACCUCAGGAACGAGGCGGGUAAGAGUGAAGAGCCGCGGACAGUUGGACAGGCUCUUUCUCUAAGAGUGGGUAUUCACUGCAGGGGGUGACUUUCUGAUUCCCUGGAAACAACCAUGUGUUCCUUAUCCCUAUUGUGGAACACCCCAGAUGACCGCAGCACGUAUUACAAGUGGAUAAAUAAUGUGCACUGCUCUGAGCCCAAAGGUACGCAGUGGACCUGGCCUCUCUGAUAUGCAUCAGUAUAGCCAAUGGCUAGCCAGCAGACAUGAAGCUAAUUUGCUACCAAUGAAAGAAGAUCUGGCCUUGUGGUUAACCAAUCUAUUAGGGAAGGAGAUUACAGCAGAAACUUUUAUGGAGAAGUUGGACAAUGGUGCCUUGCUCUGUCAACUUGCAGAAACUGUGCAGGAGAAAUUCAAGGAGAGCAUGGAUGCUAACAAGCCCACAAAGAAUCUACCAUUGAAGAAGAUCCCAUGCAAAGCCAGUGCACCCUCGGGCUCCUUUUUUGCCCGAGACAAUACAGCAAAUUUCUUAUCCUGGUGCCGAGAUUUAGGGGUGGAUGAAACGUGUCUAUUUGAAUCGGAAGGUUUGGUCCUCCACAAGCAACCCAGAGAAGUGUGUCUCUGUCUGCUAGAGCUUGGCCGGAUUGCAGCCAGGUAUGGUGUGGAGCCUCCUGGUUUGAUAAAGCUGGAAAAAGAGAUUGAACAAGAAGAAACACUUUCUGCCCCUUCUCCUUCACCUUCUCCUUCAUCAAAGUCUUCUGGAAAAAAGAGUACAGGAAACUUACUGGAUGAUGCAGUGAAACGAAUUUCUGAAGAUCCUCCUUGCAAAUGCCCAAACAAGUUCUGUGUGGAGCGGCUCUCCCAAGGAAGAUACCGAGUGGGAGAAAAGAUCCUCUUCAUUAGGAUGGGGAAACUGAGACACUGAGGUUAAGUAACUUCUCAAAGUUCUAAGGUGAAAAAAUAAAGUCUUAGAGAAGUUCUUAAACCAUAUAGACAUUUGGCAUGUCAUUUUAUGCUGCACAACAAACAUGUCAUGGUCCGUGUGGGAGGAGGCUGGGAAACUUUUGCAGGGUAUUUGUUGAAACACGACCCCUGCCGAAUGCUGCAGAUCUCCCGUGUGGAUGGCAAAACAUCCCCUAUCCAAAGCAAAUCUCCAACUCUAAAGGACAUGAAUCCAGAUAACUACUUGGUGGUCUCUGCCAAUUAUAAGGCUAAGAAGGAAAUUAAGUGAAACAAAUUGGUCACAAGGGGACCCUCAUAAUGGCCUGUAUCCACUUCUCCAGUAUAGUCAGUUUAGUUCACAUAUUCUGAAAACUGUUUUGGAGAAAGAUUUAACAGACAGAAAAAUGUCAUCAUAUUGAAAAAUGUUCAAAGAGUAGCACUAUUUAUUUUUAAUGCUUCUGUAGAAUAUGACCUAUUAAAAGGAAUUCUAAAUUCAAAUUUAAAUUAGCCAAAUUUUAGGCAAAUUAUUAUUUCUCAGUAUGCAAACACAGUAUUUAGAACACAAUAUUAGAAACAGAAUUCUAACUAAAGAUAAAUAAGGAGAAAACAUUUAGGAUUUGCAGAUAAGUCAACAGAAAGUGCCUGCUUAACAUCCAUGAGUAAAGCACCCCAGACAUUUUUAUAAUUGCAAGAUUUUUAUGCUUUUUUUUUUUUUUUUUUUUUACAAAAUGAUGAUUAGUGUGAUAAUGUGCUACAAAAAAUACCCAACAGCACUACAAAUAAGUACAGAGUAUUCACAAUAGUAAUAUGUUACCGGGAAGGCCACUUCAGAAAAGUUUACAUUCACUUGAAAGGCUGCCUUAAAGUAUAUCUCUUAUCUACGACCAAAUAUCUGGGGUACUUUUAGAAGUUUUCAGUACACCCCCUUAGAGAAUAGCUUAUGAGUUAUUUCACACAUUCCUGAGCACAUGGCUGUGUUUAGAAUGAUCUAGUGUAAUUCAUACAUGAGCUGACAUACGUUGAUAUUUUGACGAGUAAAUUGUACAGUCAAAUAUUCAUUGAUUUCAUGUUAUUUCAAAGCAUUUUCUUAUUAAAAACAUAUCUUUAGUUAAUCCUAUUUUGCUAUGCUUUCUAGUAAAGUAAAUUCACUGUAGCUAAUGAUGUUACAGACUUACGUAUACCCUUGUAUACCUGGGACAGGGCUGUUUUAUACCAAUAAACAGCAAAAUAUUGUCCUUACUCAUUCAAGAAUUAAAAGGAUAAAGUUUAAAAA